GAUGAACGCUGGCGGCGUGCCUAAUACAUGCAAGUAGAACGCUGAAGCUUGGUGCUUGCACCGAGCGGAUGAGUUGCGAACGGGUGAGUAACGCGUAGGUAACCUGCCUGGUAGCGGGGGAUAACUAUUGGAAACGAUAGCUAAUACCGCAUAACAGUCGACAUUGCAUGAUGUUGAUUUGAAAGGGGCAAAUGCUCCACUACCAGAUGGACCUGCGUUGUAUUAGCUAGUUGGUGAGGUAACGGCUCACCAAGGCGACGAUACAUAGCCGACCUGAGAGGGUGAUCGGCCACACUGGGACUGAGACACGGCCCAGACUCCUACGGGAGGCAGCAGUAGGGAAUCUUCGGCAAUGGGGGCAACCCUGACCGAGCAACGCCGCGUGAGUGAAGAAGGUUUUCGGAUCGUAAAGCUCUGUUGUAAGAGAAGAACGAGUGUGAGAGUGGAAAGUUCACACUGUGACGGUAACUUACCAGAAAGGGACGGCUAACUACGUGCCAGCAGCCGCGGUAAUACGUAGGUCCCGAGCGUUAUCCGGAUUUAUUGGGCGUAAAGCGAGCGCAGGCGGUUAGAUAAGUCUGAAGUUAAAGGCUGUGGCUUAACCAUAGUACGCUUUGGAAACUGUUUAACUUGAGUGCAGAAGGGGAGAGUGGAAUUCCAUGUGUAGCGGUGAAAUGCGUAGAUAUAUGGAGGAACACCGGUGGCGAAAGCGGCUCUCUGGUCUGUAACUGCCGCUGAGGCUCGAAAGCGUGGGGAGCAAACAGG
rnacentral:rRNA from 1 species